GUAUUUCUUGUGAAUUGGCAGCUGGACCCGAAGCCUGCAUCAGACUCAAAUUUUCUUGGUGUCCUCUGUAGCUGGAUUGUCCUGAAAGUAACUAGUCUGCCACUGUCAGAAACAUAAGUCUGCCAAAGUCUAAUGAAGUAAAGCUGGAUAGAGUUUGCAGAACUACAGGCAAACCUGAGCUUCAAGAAAACUUCAGGGAAAUACGUAUACAGUGGAAUGUGUGGAGCCAACGAGGAGCUCAUGUUUCUGUAGAGGAGACAGUGAUAUGUGGAAGUACUGAGAAAAGAACAAAUUGAAACCAACAUGGAGAACAGGUAAAGGCUUGUUGGAGAAGCUGACAGUUGAACUGGUCCUUAAAGAAUGAGUAAGAAAGAGUUCAAAUAACAACAAGCAAAUAGAGAGAGAGAGAGAGAGGAAGAGGAGGAGGAAAGAAGAGAGAGAGAGAUGGAUUGGGGGGCUGUUUCUUUUGGGUGUGCACAUAAAUCUGACUGAGGGUGGGUCUCUUCUGUCAAACUUAAGAUAAUUUUCCAGGGAACUACUAGGUACUGUAUAUUGUCCUGCUUUUCUAGGAAAAGAUUUUACCUCCUCUCUAAAUUCCCCUCUGGAAAUAGUCACAGUUGGACUGUGAGGAUGUGUUGACCCAAAUGGAGGGCUCCAGUGGGAAUAUGAUAUUAAAUUUCUGGUGAAACUUCAAACCAAGGAAGUUGCAGACUAUUAUUUCCUAAGAAGAUAGUCAAUCCUCAUGGUGAAUUUUACCAAUCUAAAAAUUAAAUUAGAGAGGAACACUUGGCUAUAUCAUCCAACUUCUAAAUGGAUUGUAAAAAUACAGAGGAUGCAUCAUUUAUCACAGAUUAUCAGAGAUCUUGAAUUUCAUGUAGUUGACAUGAAGUAGAAUAAUUAGGCCCUCCUACAGGUUUUUCCUUGGAACUCAUAAAUGAGAUAUAAUAGGAAAAUGACUUGGGUGAGAUACUAGCUUCAGAGCACCACAAUAUUGUUAUAUAAGGAAGUACAUCUCUUUGGUGGUGUCUAAGGCUUUAAAAAGUUCCUGAUGCAACAAGAUGCUACCAAUUAAAAUUUACCUAAACCCAUUUUGUACCUGCUCUAGUUC